CCUACGGGAGGCAGCAGUGAGGAAUAUUGGUCAAUGGGCGGGAGCCUGAACCAGCCAAGUCGCGUGAGGGAAGACGGUCCUAUGGAUUGUAAACCUCUUUAGGCGGGGAGCAAUGCCGGGCACGCGUGCCCGGAGGGAGAGUACCCGCAGUAUAAGCAUCGGCUAACCGCGUGCCAGCAGCCGCGGUAAUACGGGGGAUGCGAGCGUUAUCGGGAUUUUUUGGGUUUAGGGGGUGCGUAGGCGGAGUUUUAAGUCAGCGGUAAAAUGUCCGGGCAAAGCCCGGGCCGGCCGUUGAAACUGGGGAUCUUGAGUGGGCAAGAAGUAUGCGGAAUGCGUGGUGUAGCGGUGAAAUGCAUAGAUAUCACGCAGAACUCCGAUUGCGAAGGCAGCAUACCGGCGCCCGACUGACGCUGAGGCACGAAAGCGUGGGGAUCGAACAGGAUUAGAUACCCUUGUAGUC
rnacentral:rRNA from 1 species